rnacentral:rRNA from 1 species
GACGAACGCUGGCGGCGUGCUUAACACAUGCAAGUCGAACGAAGAGCGAUGGAAGCUUGCUUCUAUCAAUCUUAGUGGCGAACGGGUGAGUAACGCGUAAUCAACCUGCCCUUCAGAGGGGGACAACAGUUGGAAACGACUGCUAAUACCGCAUACGAUCUAAUCUCGGCAUCGAGGAUAGAUGAAAGGUGGCCUCUACAUGUAAGCUCUCACUGAAGGCGGGGAUUGCGUCUGAUUAGCUAGUUGGAGGGGUAACGGCCCACCAAGGCGAUGAUCAGUAGCCGGUCUGAGAGGAUGAACGGCCACAUUGGGACGGAGACACGGCCCAGACUCCUACGGGAGGCAGCAGUGGGGAAUCUUCCGCAAUGGACGAAAGUCUGACGGAGCAACGCCGCGGGAGGGAUGACGGCCUUCGGGUUGUAAAGCUCGGUUAAUCGGGACGAAAGGCCUUCUUGCGAAUAGUGAGAAGGAUUGACGGUACCGGAAGAGAAAGCCACGGCUAACUACGUG